GCCAGCAGCCAUAUCACUCUGCAAUUCACAACUGGUAGCCCACUGAAGCUCAGCAGGUGUGAGCCUGGUCAGUACCUGGAUGGGAGACCUCCUAGGAAAAAUUAAGGUUGCUGCUGGAA
rnacentral:rRNA from 1 species